CUGUCCUUGCUGUAGACACAUCUGACCUACUAAAGCUGAUUGUUGAUCACCUAAGCACUGCAACGAAUAAUUUUUUAUGAACACCCUGUAGCAACUCGUCUUGUAUAUAACCAUAAAUCUCAGAAGAGCUUCGUAUUUCAGCAUUCGUUACAUCUGUACUAUGAACACCACCAUUGGCACCACCUGUCAGAUUCUAAUUAUAAAAUUAAUUAUUAAUCUGAAUCAGUAUAAAA